CUGCCCAUGCCAUGGAGAGCCCGACCAAGUCUGUGCUCCUCCUUGCUCUUCUCCUCGCCACCAUUGUCGUGCAGCUCGAGGGAAGAAACAUCCACAGCGAGCCUAAACCCUACAAGCCUCAAAACUUCUUCGGGUUCGGUGGCGUCUUCGGCACUCCCGGGCUUCCCUUGGGUCCUCAGUUUGGGUUCGGAGGUCCUGCCUUCGGCUCCAUCCCCACCAUUGGAAGUAUCCCGGGGAUGCCCGGCGGAGGGCUCAUAGGACGUGGAGGUGCAAAGCCAUGAUGUGAUGAGCUGGGGUUGUCUCGGUUAAUGUUCUCCGGUGUGCUGUAAGCUUAUCGAUAGCUUAUUAUGGUGGUGUUUGUCCUAGGUUUAGUAGUCUGCUGUUUGCUCAGUGUUUUGUUACGUUUAUCAUAGCGUGUUAGGUUGUGACAUGUAGCUUGUUAUCCUUAGAAAAUGUACUCGGCUUGAUGUCUUCUCAUGGAUCUGUCUAUGUGUGAAAGAGGGAGAGAGAGGAUUAAGGUGUGCACGAAAUGACCCACUUCCACUGAGGGAGAUAUGUGACUGUCUGUGACCGACACAUUAGAAUCGUUGCCGUUGUGCCUGUUGGAGCAAAGCUGACCGUGGCGAGACCUGUGUCAGCGGGCCCAAAGUAAGAUCCAUUGGCUCAGCCAACAGGCAGCUGCCAUGUCAUCGGACGGCCUUUAACACCCCUGUGGUACAAGCCAGAGAUGCUGCUGAUGUGAGCCCCAUUGGCUCAGUCAACAGGCAGCUGCCGUGUCACUGGACGGCCUUUAACAUCCCCAUGGUUCAAAACGGAGAUACCGAGCGUGGGCUCCACUGGCUCACGCAACAGACCGCUGCCAUGUCACUGGACGUGGGAUCCAUUGGUCGGUCAACAGGCAGCUGCCACGUCAUCCGACGGCCUUUGAUUAAGGAUAUCCAACAAUACUAAUAAGCAUAUGAGUAGUAGUGCUUCCAAUAAGUCUGACAAAUAUAUUAGCCCCAGUGGCGAUGUCAUACAAUGCAAUUGCUACAAGCCAAUAACAUAUAAUAUAUAUUCUCUCCACUUAGAUGCAUACUAAUAUACAUCGAUCCAUAUUAAUAUAAUCUAAAUUAUUAUUAUCAUGGAAUCAGAAAUAUUUUAAAAAUAUAUUAUGAUAUCUUCGUGUGUGUGUGUGUGUAUAUAUAUAUAUAUAUAUAUAUAUAUAUAUAUAUAUAUUCGAACUAUCUAAAUAUCGACUGUAACUUCAAAUAAAUAGCAUGUGCUGUUUUUGUGGAUGAAUUCCAGUAUGGAUGGAGGAUCUACAUAUAUAUGCUUUAUUAAAAUACGUUAAAACUGCGUAAUGUUUUUGUUUUUGGUUCUCUCGUUAUUUGGAGAUUACAACCCGUUUUGUGCCAAACAGAAAGAGAACGUGACCGUGUCUCGAUCGCCCUCAUCUUUCCCUUCCACUCCCUUCAUCACAUCGGAACCCUUUAAACCCUAACAUCGUUCUCCAGACCCGACCAAUUCCGCUUCCUUUGGGUACGACAUUCUUUUACCUUUUAAAUCUAAUUCUGUUGAUUUGCAGUUUAUGAUUUCUUGGUUUUCUUGAAAUCUCCCGGAAAUCGGGUGUUUUUGCUUGAAAUGUAAGGGUUGUUCUUGCCAUUGACGGAUGGUGCGAAAAGAAUCAGGUCGUGAGAGUAGAUAAAGGUUCGUUCCGACAUAUGGAACUAGCUCACUUGCAAACCAGUGGAUAAUGUAUCGUCCAUAUAUUAUAUUGAUUGCUUGCACACGCUGUCUGUGUCACUGAAACUGAAUAGCUUUAAGAACCGAUUCUUUUUGGGAGAAUUUGUACAUGUCAUUUAAGAUAAAAUAUAUAGUUUUCUCCACUAAAUAAAUCAAAAUAAAAUAAAAUCCCAUGCCAAAAGACAACAUUCUGAUUACAUUUCGUAAUGCAUGUCAGUUUUUUUUUUUUUCUUUCUGAGAACUGGAUUAUUGAUAAUGCUGGUGGUCGUGUUAUUAUCGGAUGUUGCAAAAAGAAUUAGAUUAUGAGAGUAGAUCAAGUUUCUUUCCAACAUCAGGAGACUAGGUCACUUGCUAACGAAUGGAUAACCUAUCUUCCAUAUGUUAUAUGGAUUGCUUGCACGUGCUGUUUAUGUCAUUGAAAUCGAAUAGCAGUAAGACCCGAUAUUUAUUGCGAGAAUUUUUACAUGUCAUUUCACAUAAAAUUUAUAGUUUUAUUAAAUAAAUAAAUAAAUAAAUUCCAUGCCAAAAGACAAGAUUUUGGUCAUAUUUCCAUAAUGCAUAUACAAUAGUGAAUAGUUGGUGUUUGAUGAGAAAAUGACGGUAGCCCUUUUCUUCUUUUUCUCCUACAGAUUGGUAUGGAUUAACUUAUAUUCUUGAUAUCUUUGCCUGAAGAUAGGAUAAAGUUAUAUUGCAUUUCCUUUCAUUUGAUGCUGAUUGUUUCGAUCUCACUGCGAUGACUUAGUGCACAAUAUAAUUACUUUUUAUAUUCCCCUUGAUGGUUCCUUUCGAAUUAUGAAAUCCUUAUGACACCAACAUGUCAUGUGGAGAUUUAGGUUACCAUACAGUGACACUUUUUUCAUGUUAUAUAAGUUAUCUUUAUUUUUUUUUGCCAAGGAACAAAAUUAUCAAUGAGUUCAAUGUAAGUUCUAUACCAAGUCAAUCUUGUUAGUAGACAAUAAGCUCUAAAAUGAGCAGUGCCAGUUACAUUAAAUAACAUAAUCAACUUUAAGAUAAUAUAUGUGACAUGACAGAGGAAAGAAGUUCAGGCAUCCUUGUGUGUCUUGUAUGUUUAAUGUAAGAAAAUUCAAGUUGAUGAAUGAAAGUUGAGCCAUGCAUUUACUUAUCACCAAGACAUGAUUUACAUGUAUGUAAAAGUUAUUCUAUUAGUUAUGUUGAGGCAUGCAUAUAUUGGUUUAUACCUGCAUUUUGAUGAAUUUUUGCUGAAUCUAUAUGUGGAUUGUACUGAUUUACACAACAAAAGUGUACAAGAAUUUACUGGACCCUGGUACUUACCUUCGAGCAUAGCUUAAAAUUAUUUGUGGGCAAUAUACACCAUUGGAGUCACCAAAAGAUCCAAUGUUCCUAGUAAAGACACUUCUUACACUAUUGACUACCAUAAUUUCCAAGCUGGCAAAAAUUCAGAAUUCUGUUUACAAGUAUUCUUAAAUAUCUGUUUACCUUGUCUGAAAAUUUAGCUUCCCAAUAAAAUAAGCAAAAAGGGAAGCAUAGAUCAAUGGAAGGGCAAGAAGAGCAACAGCAACGAGCCCUAAAAGAUUGUGGUGAAAACCAAAAUAGUCCUCUAGGAAAGAAGCUAUCGAUUUGGUUUCUCCAAACACCAUUAUCUCCUUCUGUACAUCCCCAUACUGUGAACUGAAGAAGCCAUGCAGUGACCAGGACAUGGGACACAGGUAAUAUAACCAGAUCCACCACUUUGGAAUUUGCUGCAAGGAAACAAAUAAUGUUUAAUUUUUUUACCAGUAAGCUAUAGGUACUUGAACUAUUAUUAUAGGAUGACUCAAACUAUUGCAUCAAGCAACUAAGGAUAAUACAAAUGAACACCUUGCUUUAGCUUCCAAAGCAUAUUUAUCCAAGUAUAACAUAUUGUGUUGUCAUAUUCAUUUCUGGAUCUCACAGUAUUAAGCUGUGAGAAAUAUACCUGUUCUUUUCCCUAUACUAAAAAAACUGUUAUCAUGCACUUAACUCUGUUAAUUUGAUCUGUAUAGCUUAGUUCUGCUACUUUAGAUCAGGAUCUGCCGUACUGAGUCAUACCGCCCGGUACGGGUGGUACGUACCGGUCCGACAAGUUGUUGGUACGCGGACCGACUGUUACCUGUCCGAGAGUACUGUAGCACUGUAGCAGAACACUGUAGUACUGUAGCAGUGUUACAGUACUCGAUACACCUGGGUGUACCGCUCGGUAUACCGUACCGUACCGGUACCGAGCCCAGAUCGAAAUACCGGUAUGGUACGGUAUUGCGAACCUUGCUUUAGAUAUCGAUACCAAAAUGCAAUGCAGAUGAACUAGUAAUUGUUUGUUUGUAGGUUGUUAUCCUGCAGUAUGUUUGUUGUUUGCAUAUGGAACCAAUGUAGUAUAUCUAAAUGCUUAUGAACUGAAAAGAAAUGUAAAUGCUGGACUUACGGGACUUGGCACAAUGAAGCCUGAAAAGAGAUUAAACAAGGUGUAGCAAACAGAUGCCAAUAUGGUAGCCACUUGAACAUUUGGGGUCAAUGAAACCAGCAACAUCCCAAGGUAAAUGAAGUAGAGCAAUGUGCAGAACAUGGUAUAGAAGAACCAGAAGAACUUAUAGACCGUCCAGUAGUAACCAAUUGCUGGAUAUGCUAUAACCAUAAAUAAUACCACUUCUAUUAGUACAUAGGGAAGCUCAAUGACCACCUGAAACAGAAAAGUGUAUCUUGAUCAACAUUCAGGAAAUGAUCUUCCUUUCCUUACCAAUACACUAUUAGAAAAAGCUGCUAAACCUGUGCAAGGGAGUAGGCCCAAUGGGAGUACAUUCCUGCAAACUUCUCCCGGUACAGAACAGUUCGCUCAAUUGAAACAAAUGGUAGAACUGACGAGCAGUUGUUUAUUCCAGUGAAGACUGUGGCGACAAACAUUGACCCCAACAUAUUGAACAGAUCUUGUUGGUUGUUUCUUCAAGGAGAAAUAUGUGUAUUAGUAUCUAGAUCCAUGUAUUAUUUUAAGAACAUAAAGUAUGUUUCAAAGCAAACUUUAAAAACUUAAGCAUCAUAUAUUUGUGUAUGUAUUACAACAAUGAUAUGCCAAAUCUAGAUUAAGAGUGAUCCCUAUUUUACUGCAGGAUGCAUGUUCAAAAUCUUCCCACCUCUUUCUACUUUUUAUCAGUAUCAUUAUUGAUUUACCAAAUAAGGGAAGAAUUUUAAUUGCUGUCUUGCUUCUAUCUGCUGUGAUGCAAUUUUGGUUUCAAGUCCAGGAAGUCCCUCUGCACUUAGCUUCGAUGUUUGUCUUCUUUGGUAACUUUCGCCUUUGUCUUUUAUGAAAAAGUUGAAGUAUUAAUCACCAAAUUAAGUGGAAGUUCAUGUUGACCAUAUCAGUUUGUACAGCCAAUACUAUUGUGCCAAUCAUAGCAAAAAUACUGUUAUUCUAAAUAAUAUUGAAAUAUUUUUUGACGUGGUGCAACAUACUGUAUCAUAUGGAUUAAGUUCACAUACCUGAACUGGUAUUUGAUUCUGUUUAAUUCUUUGAUAUCCUUCUAUAAGGCCCAACAAUUAGUUGUUGGAGUUCUUUGGGAGUAAACAUCAACUAUUUGAAGCCAUUUUAAAUGGCUUAGAUUUACUCUUUUGGCUUAGUUUCUCAUUGCUUUUCUCUUUCUUGUUUUCUUUUCAAUUUUUUAUCUCUUUGUACCUAUUUUCUUUCUUAAUGUAUCAGUUCCAGCUUUUGCUGCUUUGCCUAAAAAAUUAAAAAAUAUGAUUGUUUGAUGAUGGCUUUUGCACUUUUUGAUUAAAUAUGGUCGCCAUUUAUAGAUUUAUUGCCUCAACAGCAUUAGCAAAAUGACAUAUUCUUGUAAGAAUGUUGCUGUAGAUUGAUCUUUAUGGAAAUUAUAUUCUGUAAUUUUAAUGAUUUUGUCUAAACCUUUACAUGUAAUCCUCUCAGCCAUGUGUUAUCUACUAAACAACAAUAUGAAUUCUGGCUCUAGACUGAAAUAUAUUACUGCAAAUUAGCAUAUAUGUCCUUUGUCCAUGUCAUAUAUCUACAUAUUUAUUUACCAGUUUAUUAUGCAUCUAUGUGAGAAAACAGGUACUUACAAUGUCUUUCCAUGCUGCCAGAAUAUUAAUCCAAAGAUUAUGGAUG
rnacentral:lncRNA from 1 species